GCCAGAGGACCCAACAAACUCUGUUAUUUUCAGUAUCUUCUGAGUAAAAACACAAUCAAUUAAAACUUUCAACAACGGAUCUCUUGGUUCUGGCAUCGAUGAAGAACGCAGCGAAAUGCGAUAAGUAAUGUGAAUUGCAGAAUUCAGUGAAUCAUCGAAUCUUUGAACGCACAUUGCGCCCGCCAGUACUCUGGCGGGCAUGCCUGUUCGAGCGUCAUUACAUCCCUCAAGCCCCAGCGGCUUGGUGUUGGGCUUCGGCCGUCCUCAGCGGCGGCCGUGCCCCAAAUACAGUGGCGGUCUCGCCCCCGGCUCCUCUGCGUAGUAGUAACAUCUCGCACUGGGACGGAGCGAAGGCCACGCCGUAAAACAACCCAACUUUCUGAAUGUUGACCUCGGAUCAGGUAGGAAUACCCGCUGAACUUAAGCAUAUCAAUAAGCGGAGGA
rnacentral:rRNA from 1 species